UCACCUCAUUGCUGUGGCCGCACUUCUUUUUGCGGCAGUUGAAAGGCAAUAAUGGGAAACCGUGCGUACUUGCGGCAGAUCAUCUUCUUCUCGUUGUACUUGAGGGCUAGGUUCUGGAGUCUGGGCUCGAUCAUGGGGGGUAGCCGCCUCUGCCGCCGCCGCGGAGGCGGAGCACCAGGUGAAGCGUCGACUCCUUCUGGAUGUUGUAGUCGGCCAGCGUGCAGCCGUCUUCCAGCUGCUUCCCCGCGAAGAUGAGCCGCUGCUGAUCCGGCGGGAUACCUUCCUUGUCUUGGAUCUUGGCCUUGACGUUGUCUAUGGUGUCGCUGCUCUCGACCUCCAGGGUGAU
rnacentral:sRNA from 1 species